rnacentral:rRNA from 1 species
CCUACGGGUGGCAGCAGUGGGGAAUAUUGGACAAUGGGCGAAAGCCUGAUCCAGCCAUGCCGCGUGUGUGAAGAAGGCCUUCGGGUUGUAAAGCACUUUCAGUGGGGAAGAAAGCCUUGGGGCUAAUACCCUCGAGGAAGGACAUCACCCACAGAAGAAGCACCGGCUAACUCCGUGCCAGCAGCCGCGGUAAUACGGAGGGUGCGAGCGUUAAUCGGAAUUACUGGGCGUAAAGCGCGCGUAGGCGGUCUGAUAAGCCGGUUGUGAAAGCCCCGGGCUCAACCUGGGAACGGCAUCCGGAACUGUCAGGCUAGGGUGCAGGAGAGGAAGGUAGAAUUCCCGGUGUAGCGGUGAAAUGCGUAGAGAUCGGGAGGAAUACCAGUGGCGAAGGCGGCCUUCUGGACUGACACUGACGCUGAGGUGCGAAAGCGUGGGUAGCAAACAGGAUUAGAUACCCCUGUAGUC